CGUUUACGGGAGGCAGCAGGUGGGGAAUCCUUCCGACAAUGGACAAAGUCUGACGGAGCAACGCCGCGUGAGUGAUGACGGCCUUCGGGUUGUAAAGCUCUGUUAAUCGGGACGAAAGGUCUUCUUGCGAAUAGUUAGAAGAAUUGACGGUACCGGAAUAGAAAGCCACGGCUAACUACGUGCCAGCAGCCGCGGUAAUAAGG
rnacentral:rRNA from 1 species